AACGAACGCUGGCGGCAGGCUUAACACAUGCAAGUCGAACGGUGAACGAGGGAGCUUGCUCCCUCCGGAUCAGUGGCGAACGGGUGAGUAACACGUGAGCAAUCUGCCCUGGACUCUGGGAUAAGCGUUGGAAACGACGUCUAAUACCGGAUACGAGACGCGAAGGCAUCUUCAGCGUCUGGAAAGAACUUCGGUCCAGGAUGGGCUCGCGGCCUAUCAGGUAGUUGGUGAGGUAAUGGCUCACCAAGCCUACGACGGGUAGCCGGCCUGAGAGGGUGACCGGCCACACUGGGACUGAGACACGGCCCAGACUCCUACGGGAGGCGGCAGUGGGGAAUAUUGCACAAUGGGCGCAAGCCUGAUGCAGCAACGCCGCGUGAGGGACGACGGCCUUCGGGUUGUAAACCUCUUUUAGCAGGGAAGAAGCGAAAGUGACGGUACCUGCAGAAAAAGCACCGGCUAACUACGUGCCAGCAGCCGCAGUAAGAC
rnacentral:rRNA from 1 species